UAAGCCAUGCAUGUCUAAGUAUAAGCAAUUAUACCGUGAAACUGCGAAUGGCUCAUUAAAUCAGUUAUCGUUUAUUUGAUAGUACCUUACUACUUGGAUAACCGUGGUAAUUCUAGAGCUAAUACAUGCUGAAAACCCCAACUUCGGGAGGGGUGUAUUUAUUAGAUAAAAAACCAACGCCCUUUCGGGGCUUCUUGGUGAUUCAUGAUAACUUUACGGAUCGCAUGGCCUUGCGCUGGCGACGGUUCAUUCAAAUUUCUGCCCUAUCAACUUUCGAUGGUAAGGUAUUGGCUUACCAUGGUUUCAACGGGUAACGGGGAAUUAGGGUUCGAUUCCGGAGAGGGAGCCUGAGAAACGGCUACCACAUCCAAGGAAGGCAGCAGGCGCGCAAAUUACCCAAUCCCGACACGGGGAGGUAGUGACAAUAAAUACUGAUACAGGGCUCUUUUGGGUCUUGUAAUUGGAAUGAGUACAAUUUAAACCUCUUAACGAGGAACAAUUGGAGGGCAAGUCUGGUGCCAGCAGCCGCGGUAAUUCCAGCUCCAAUAGCGUAUAUUAAAGUUGUUGCAGUUAAAAAGCUCGUAGUUGAAACUUGGGUCUGGCUGGCGGGUCCGCCUCACCGCGUGUACUUGUCCGGCCGGGCCUUCCUUCUGGAGAACCUCAUGCCCUUUACUGGGCGUGUUGGGGACCAGGACUUUUACUUUGAAAAAAUUAGAGUGUUCAAAGCAGGCCUUUGCUCGAAUACGUUAGCAUGGAAUAAUAGAAUAGGACGUGCGGUCCUAUUUUGUUGGUUUCUAGGACCGCCGUAAUGAUUAAUAGGGACAGUCGGGGGCAUCAGUAUUCAAUUGUCAGAGGUGAAAUUCUUGGAUUUAUUGAAGACUAACUACUGCGAAAGCAUUUGCCAAGGAUGUUUUCAUUAAUCAGUGAACGAAAGUUAGGGGAUCGAAGACGAUCAGAUACCGUCGUAGUCUUAACCGUAAACUAUGCCGACUAGGGAUCGGGCGAUGUUCUUUUUCUGACUCGCUCGGCACCUUACGAGAAAUCAAAGUUUUGGG
rnacentral:rRNA from 1 species